UACGUAGGUGGCAAGCGUUGUCCGGAAUUAUUGGGCGUAAAGCGCGCGCAGGCGGCCUCUUAAGUCUGACGUGAAAGCCCCCGGCUCAACCGGGGAGGGUCAUUGGAAACUGGGGAGCUUGAGUAUAGGAGAGAAAAGUGGAAUUCCACGUGUAGCGGUGAAAUGCGUAGAGAUGUGGAGGAACACCAGUGGCGAAGGCGACUUUUUGGUCUGUAACUGACGCUGAGGCGCGAAAGCGUGGGGAGCAAACAGG
rnacentral:misc_RNA from 1 species